rnacentral:rRNA from 1 species
UAGCAUAUCAUAAGCGGAGGAAAAGAAACCUACAGGGAUUGCCCUAGUAACGGCGAGUGAAGCGGCAACAGCUCAAAUUUGAAAUCUGGCUCUUUCAGAGUCCGAGUUGUAAUUUGCAGAGGGCGCUUUGGCGUUGGCAGCGGUCCAAGUUCCUUGGAACAGGACGUCACAGAGGGUGAGAAUCCCGUACGUGGUCGCUAGCCAUCGCCGUGUAAAGCCCCUUCGACGAGUCGAGUUGUUUGGGAAUGCAGCUCUAAAUGGGAGGUAAUUUCUUCUAAAGCUAAAUACUGGCCAGAGACCGAUAGCGCACAAGUAGAGUGAUCGAAAGAUGAAAAGCACUUUGGAAAGAGAGUCAAAUAGCACGUGAAAUUGUUGAAAGGGAAGCGCUUGCAGCCAGACUUGCCUGUAGUUGCUCAUCCGGGCUUUUGCCCGGUGCACUCUUCUGCGGGCAGGCCAGCAUCAGUUUGGGCGGUUGGAUAAAGGUCUCUGUCAUGUACCUCUCUUCGGGGAGAACUUAUAGGGGAGACGACAUGCAACCAGCCUGGACUGAGGUCCGCGCAUUUGCUAGGAUGCUGGCGUAAUGGCUGUAAGCGGCCCGUCUUGAAACACGGACCAAGGAGUCUAACAUCUAUGCGAGUGUUUGGGUGUCAAGCCCGAGCGCGUAAUGAAAGUGAACGGAGGUGGGACCCCAUUAGGGUGCACCAUCGACCGAUCCUGAUGUCUUCGGAUGGAUUUGAGUAAGAGCAUGGCUGUUGGGACCCGAAAGAUGGUGAACUAUGCUUGAAUAGGGUGAAGCCAGAGGAAACUCUGGUGGAGGCUCGCAGCGGUUCUGACGUGCAAAUCGAUCGUCAAAUUUGGCAUAGGGCGAAAGAC